GACGAACGCUGGCGGCGUGCUUAACACAUGCAAGUCGAACGGAAAGGCCCUGCUUUUGUGGGGUGCUCGAGUGGCGAACGGGUGAGUAACACGUGAGUAACCUGCCCUUGACUUUGGGAUAACUUCAGGAAACUGGGGCUAAUACCGGAUAGGAGCUCCUGCUGCAUGGUGGGGGUUGGAAAGUUUCGGCGGUUGGGGAUGGACUCGCGGCUUAUCAGCUUGUUGGUGGGGUAGUGGCUUACCAAGGCUUUGACGGGUAGCCGGCCUGAGAGGGUGACCGGCCACAUUGGGACUGAGAUACGGCCCAGACUCCUACGGGAGGCAGCAGUGGGGAAUAUUGCACAAUGGGCGGAAGCCUGAUGCAGCAACGCCGCGUGCGGGAUGACGGCCUUCGGGUUGUAAACCGCUUUCGCCUGUGACGAAGCGUGAGUGACGGUAAUGGGUAAAGAAGCACCGGCUAACUACGUGCCAGCAGCCGCGGUGAUACGUAGGGUGCGAGCGUUGUCCGGAUUUAUUGGGCGUAAAGGGCUCGUAGGUGGUUGAUCGCGUCGGAAGUGUAAUCUUGGGGCUUAACCCUGAGCGUGCUUUCGAUACGGGUUGACUUGAGGAAGGUAGGGGAAGAUGGAAUUCUUGGUGGAGCGGUGGAAUGCGCAGAUAUCAGGAGGAGCACCAGUGGCGAAGGCGGUUCUCUGGGCCUUUCCUGACGCUGAGGAGCGAAAGCGUGGGGAGCGAACAGGCUUAGAUACCCUGGUAGUCCACGCUGUAAACGGUGGGUACUAGGUGUGGGGUCCAUUCCACGGGUUCCGUGCCGUAGCUAACGCUUUAAGUACCCCGCCUGGGGAGUACGGCCGCAAGGCUAAAACUCAAAGGAAUUGACGGGGCCCCGCACAAGCGGCGGAGCAUGCGGAUUAAUUCGAUGCAACGCGUAGAACCUUACCUGGGUUUGACAUGGAUCGGGAGUGCUCAGAGAUGGGUGUGCCUCUUUUGGGGUCGGUUCACAGGUGGUGCAUGGCUGUCGUCAGCUCGUGUCGUGAGAUGUUGGGUUAAGUCCCGCAACGAGCGCAACCCUUGUUCACUGUUGCCAGCACGUUAUGGUGGGGACUCAGUGGAGACCGCCGGGGUCAACUCGGAGGAAGGUGGGGAUGACGUCAAGUCAUCAUGCCCCUUAUGUCCAGGGCUUCACGCAUGCUACAAUGGCUGGUACAGAGAGUGGCGAGCCUGUGAGGGUGAGCGAAUCUCGGAAAGCCGGUCUCAGUUCGGAUUGGGGUCUGCAACUCGACCUCAUGAAGUCGGAGUCGCUAGUAAUCGCAGAUCAGCAACGCUGCGGUGAAUACGUUCCCGGGGC
rnacentral:rRNA from 1 species